rnacentral:lncRNA from 1 species
GCUAGAAAUCAGCGAGACUCCGUGGGCGUAGGAGCCUCCGAGCCAGUCAUGGUCUGGAGUCAAGAAAUGAAGAGGGCAAGCAAUGUUUUUGGCAUCCUGACUACAGUUACAUGCAGUUUGGGGCUGCUGCAAUGGCAACUCAACGGAGAGGUUAGGAACACCAACUCCAGGAUCAGGCAAUCUUUGAAUCCCUGUCACUAGCAGCUUUGUAUAUUGGAGCAAGUUACUUAACAUCUGUCUGCUGGAGUUUGCUGGAGGUUCACUCCAGACCCUAUUUGCCUGGGUAUCACCAGUGGAGGCUGCAGAACAGCAAAGAUUGCUGCCUAUUCCUUCCUCUGGAAGCUUCUUCCUAGAGAGUCACCUGCCAGAUGCCAGCCAGAGCUCCCCGAAAUGAGGUAUUCAGUGACAUCUUUCUAAAUUGUUUAAAAUGAGAAGCAUUGCACACUGAGAGUCAGGAUCCAAGUGUCUUUGACUGAGCCAACUCAGCUCUGCUAUUAACUUAUGGUGUGAUCGCAGGCUGUCUAGAAAAGGACACCAACAAUCACCCAUGAAGAUUGCCCUUCAACCUUUGGGAGGAAAUGAUCGAAAUGGGAGCUAGAGAAGAUUGUUGUUGGAAUCUCAGUUCUUCAGAGAGCUACUAUCAACAGAUUGAGUUGACAGGAAAAAGUCAUAAUCCAGGCCAAAGUGAGCAAACUCCCAAGAGCAUUCCUGGUCAGCACCGCAGCAAAUCCGUGGCAAGUGCAGAGAUUAUAAGCAAUUUCUCCAUGGCUGGAAUUCAGUUGAUCUGGGACUGAACCUAUUUCUAAUGGGGUCUUGAUAUAUUGCCCAGGCUGGAGUGCAGGGGCUAUUCACAGGCACAAUCAUAGCUCACUACAGUCUCAAACUCCUAAUCUCAAGCAGUAGCUGGGACUGUAAGUAUGCACCAACACUCCCGGUUUGGGUAUCUCCAUUGAUUGGCAACCAGCACCACAGUAGAUGCUGAUGAAAAGAAAGUUAUGAAUGUCAUGUAAAAUGACAGUAGUAUUAGCAAAUGUGCUUUUAAUUAUAAGAAAAUUACAAUAUGUAAAAAAAUUUCAAUUUUCCCAUAUUAUCUCUUAAUAAUAACUGCCAUUUGUUGAGCCCAUUGGGUAUGUUACAUAUAUUAACACAACAGGAUGGACAUUAUCUAUCUUAUAUAUAUUAUGUGUAUAUAUACGGAAAACAGGACACAAAUUGUCUGAGGCCAUGGACAAUUAGCUUGCAGUAAAGUAGGAUUCUAAAUUAGGUUUCUCUAGCUCCAAGACCCAUGCCAUUUUGUUUGGUCAUUUGCUUCUGAUGAAUCAAAUAUUAAUUCAGCCAAAGACAGCUAUUCAAAGCUGGUUGAAUAACUUACUAUGUGUAAUUCACUUGUGUCCUGCCUUUCUUCCGAACUUUUGUACAAAACCUUGAUUAUUUUAAUAAGGCAUUCUAUACAUAAAGUUUCAAAUAAACCAUAAGUACCUCAAGAAAAUGUCAUAUAAUUUAGAAUUGAAUCAUAGCAUAUUUUUAAUCUGGAAGCAACAUAUCUAAAUAAGCCAUUUUUAUAUUAUAAAUACAAACAGGUACAAAGAAGUAUAGUUCACUUUACAAGCUGUUGUACAUGCAUAAUACCAUAUUAUGCUACCAAAGAAACUAUUAAGUUAUACAUAUUUUUUACAGCUUUAACUAUUUUUGUUGUCAAUUUCCUCUAAUAAGAUUUUUUCUGGAUAAACAAAAAUUUAUCUACUCAAAUGAUUGUUUUUCUUCAACAUCAUAAUGUUGCAGGCCUAUUGAUGUAUAUUUUUGUGUACUAAAUAGUUUGUGGAGCUCUUCUUGAAGAAUUAUCUUCAGAGCUGAUUAACCAGACACACCCUCCAGACAUCAUAGUCACAGCUGCUUUGAGACAGCAACAACCUCAUCCCCGCAAAUAGUAUGGAUUCCUGUCUUAUUCAAUAGGUCUGAAUUUUAAAUACUCUUAGCUUAUUUCAAGAACUAAAUCUAUCCUCCACAAAUAAAAAUGUGCUGCCGCUCAGAAUAUUUAGGAGAAUAUGUGAUAGCCAAGAUACUUUUGGCUUAUUUCAAAAAUUCAUCUAUCUCCACAAAGGAAAAUGUUUCACCAUUCAGAAUAUUCAAGAGAAUUUUCUUAGAAAAGAAAUCCAAGAUUGUAUUCAUUGGAAUAACAGACCUUUCUUCAAGGUGACUUCUUUCAAAAGAACAAUAUUUAGGGGUAUAUAGAACAUCAUUUUUAAAAUAAUUUAUUUUGCUAUAUUUACCACAUUUCAUGACACCCUAAAAGAUUUUGGCUAAUGAAAUUUAUACAGUUCAAAUGUGUAUUCCUGAAGAGACAAGACUGAGGGAAAAAAAAUUAUCUCAAAGUCAUUCUCAAAUUAGACAUGAAAUGAAUUAUUAAUUUCUACAUAUUUUACCAUCAUGCUUGUAGUUUUAAUAAACAAAAAUCAAAUGCAUAUAGGCUUCACACACUUUGUGUAAUUGCUUGUUUAACAUCCCCAAAUUCCAUAAAUGCAAAAACUAGAUCUGUCUGGCUUUCCAUUAAGUCCCCAGCACCUAGCAAGGUGCUUAACAAAUAGCAGAUGGAUGUUGGAAGGAAUAAAGGAACAAAGAAAAGAAUAGAAGAAGUUAGUGACUUGAUUCUAUACAGAGUGGACCUUGACACAUACUGCAAGUGAAUGUUAAACUAAAAGUAUAAUUUCUUUAUCAGUGAAUAUAUUUCCAUGAAUUUUAAGUAUUUUGCUGAUGAUUUAUUAAAUAUGUAUUUCACUACUUUCUUUUCUUUUAAUCAGUCCUAUUCCAUCCCCUUCAAAUAAUAAAAAAGUUUCAAUG